rnacentral:tRNA from 1 species
GGGUCGCUAACUCAAUGGUUAGAGUAGCCGCCUUUUAAGCGGAAGGUUCAGAGUUCAAGUCUCUGGCGACCCACUA